CGGGACGGGUGAGUAACGCGUGGGUAACCUGCCUCACACUGGGGGACAACAGUUAGAAAUGACUGCUGAUACCGCAUAAGCGCACAGGACCGCAUGGUCUAGUGUGAAAAACUCCGGUGGUGUGAGAUGGACCCGCGUUUGAUUAGCUAGUUGGUGGGGUAACGGCCUACCAAGGCGACGAUCAAUAGCCGACCUGAGAGGGUGACCGGCCACAUUGGGACUGAGACACGGCCCAA
rnacentral:rRNA from 1 species